GAUCAUGGCUCAGGACGAACGCUGGCGGCGUGCUUAACACAUGCAAGUCGAACGAUGAACCACUUCGGUGGGGAUUAGUGGCGAACGGGUGAGUAACACGUGGGCAAUCUGCCCUGCACUCUGGGACAAGCCCUGGAAACGGGGUCUAAUACCGGAUACUGACCCUCGCGGGCAUCUGCGAGGUUCGAAAGCUCCGGCGGUGCAGGAUGAGCCCGCGGCCUAUCAGCUUGUUGGUGAGGUAAUGGCUCACCAAGGCGACGACGGGUAGCCGGCCUGAGAGGGCGACCGCCCACACUGGGACUGAGACACGGCCCAGACUCCUACGGGAGGCAGCAGUGGGGAAUAUUGCACAAUGGGCGGAAGCCUGAUGCAGCGACGCCGCGUGAGGGAUGACGGCCUUCGGGUUGUAAACCUCUUUCAGCAGGGAAGAAGCGAAAGUGACGGUACCUGCAGAAGAAGCGCCGGCUAACUACGUGCCAGCAGCCGCGGUAAUACGUAGGGCGCAAGCGUUGUCCGGAAUUAUUGGGCGUAAAGAGCUCGUAGGCGGCUUGUCACGUCGGUUGUGAAAGCCCGGGGCUUAACCCCGGGUCUGCAGUCGAUACGGGCAGGCUAGAGUUCGGUAGGGGAGAUCGGAAUUCCUGGUGUAGCGGUGAAAUGCGCAGAUAUCAGGAGGAACACCGGUGGCGAAGGCGGAUCUCUGGGCCGAUACUGACGCUGAGGAGCGAAAGCGUGGGGAGCGAACAGGAUUAGAUACCCUGGUAGUCCACGCCGUAAACGGUGGGCACUAGGUGUGGGCAACAUUA
rnacentral:rRNA from 1 species